rnacentral:misc_RNA from 1 species
GUGAAUCAUCUAAUCUUUGAACGCACAUUGCGCCCGCCAGUAUUCUGGCGGGCAUGCCUGUCCGAGCGUCAUUUCAACCCUCGAACCCCUCCGGGGGGUCGGCGUUGGGGAUCGGCCACUCCCUCCUCUUUGGGGGCGGCCGGCCCCGAAAUACAGUGGCGGUCUCGCCGCAGCCUCUCCUGCGCAGUAGUUUGCACACUCGCAUCGGGAGCGCGGCGCGUCCAAUGCCGUAAAACACCCAACUUUCUGAAAUGUUGACCUCGGAUCAGGUAGGAAUACCCGCUGAACUUAAGCAUAUCA